UACGUAGGGUGCAAGCGUUGUCCGGAAUUAUUGGGCGUAAAGAGCUCGUAGGCGGUUCGUCGCGUCGGCUGUGAAAUCCCGAGGCUCAACCUCGGGUCUGCAGUCGAUACGGGCGGACUGGAGUUCGGCAGGGGAGACUGGAAUUCCUGGUGUAGCGGUGAAAUGCGCAGAUAUCAGGAGGAACACCAGUGGCGAAGGCGGCUACCUGGACAGAUACUGACGCUGAGGCGCGAGAGCGUGGGGAGCAAACAGG
rnacentral:rRNA from 1 species